CUCAGGGAAACAGUGUUAAAAGUCAACUCAAAGCAGAUGAUCGUAAAAGAGAGCGCGCAAACAGCUUCGACGUGUUCUUGAAUGGUCAGCACAGAUGUGAUGAUGGAUGCAGUAGAGUCAGACAGAAGGGUUUCUCCUCUGAAGAACUUUUUGGCUGGAGGGGUCGGUGGUGUCUGUCUCUUAUUAGCUGGACACCCGCUGGACACUAUCAAGGUCCGUCUGCAAACACAGCAAUGUGUUGUCUACAGAGGAACAUAUGACUGCUUACGAAAGACGGUGUCCAAAGAGGGAAUAUUUGGCCUGUAUAAAGGGAUGGGUGUCCCGCUAGCUGGUGUUACCCCAAUGAUGGCUUUGAAUUUCUUUGGCUUUGGGCUGGGAAAGGAGCUUCUGCAAAGUGACCCCACCGUACCAAUCACGAACACGCAGAUCUACUUGGCAGGGAUGCUGGCAGGAGUAUUCACCACUGUGAUCGUGGCCCCGGGCGAGAGAAUCAAGUGUUUACUUCAGAUCCAGACCUCGGCCAGUCAGCUUAAGUACACUGGACCAGUGGAUUGUGCACUAAAACUUUAUAAGGAACAGGGAAUUCGCAGUGUCUACAAGGGCACUGUUCUUACUCUAAUCAGAGAUGUGCCUUCGAAUGGUGUAUACUUUCUAACAUAUGAAUACUUAAAAAAGUUUCUGACCCCUGAGGGAGAAAGUGUUCAUCACCUCAGCACAUCCAGAGUUCUUCUUGCAGGUGGGAUUGCUGGCAUGUUAAACUGGCUGAUUGCUCUGCCUGCAGAUGUGCUUAAAUCAAACUACCAAACAGGUACACCACACAAAUUCUCAUCUUUGCCACUGACAAGCGUUACCGGGGUUUGAGAGAUGUGUUAAAAACACUGUUACGGGAGGAAGGAGCCCAUGCUCUCUACAAAGGCUUGAGUGCAGUCAUGUUACGAGCAUUUCCUGCCAAUGCGGCUUGUUUUCUAGGCUUUGAGGUUGCCCUAAAGUGCUUAAACUACAUUGCUCCAGACUGGUGAUUUCACACUUACCGAUGAGGGAUACUACACAACUGAUAUUUGAAUACUUAUAUAUAUAUAUAUAUAUAUAU